rnacentral:lncRNA from 1 species
UAUAAUAUCUUUUUGAUAUUGUAGUAUUUAUUUGUCUUCUAAUUUUAAGGUUAAAUAACUUAUUGGAGCUUGGCCAAUAAGUUAAAACAAAACUCUCUACAGCUAGAUACCUAAUGUAUUUUCAGAUAGAAAACCAUGCAAUAUGACAUCAUAUUAAACUAUUUGGCACAAUAUGUUGUUGCCUUUGUUUGUACUCAAGAUAGAUAUCGAAAAAUUCCAAUUGUUCUUCUCAAUGAUGAUGCUAUAAUUUCAUAUUUUUAAUGUAAAUCAUGUAAUAAGGAUUGAUAGUUAGUUUGAACAACCACUGGCUUUCCCAAUAGAUAAAUUCUCUAUACCUUUGUGGCAUAUAUAAUCACUAAUUGCUCUGAAUUACGUGCAAAGUAAUUACACUUUGUCCUUCUGAGCUUGCGUGAUUCAUAUGCUAUAGAUUGAAGGCUCCUAUCAAAGUCUUGUUGAAGGAUCGCUCCAAUA